GACGAACCGUGCGAACGUUAUUCGGAAUCACUGGGCUUAAAGCGCGUGUAGGCGGGAGGGCACGUCCGUUGCUGAAAUCCCCCGGCUCAGCCGGGGAACGGGCGCGGAUACGACUCUCCUUGAGGGGCGUAGGGGGACCUGGAACUUCCGGUGGAGCGGUGAAAUGCGUUGAGAUCGGAAGGAACGCCCGUGGCGAAAGCGAGGUCCUGGACGCCUACUGACGCUGAGACGCGAAAGCCAGGGGAGCGAACGGG
rnacentral:rRNA from 1 species